rnacentral:rRNA from 1 species
GAUGAACGCUGGCGGCGUGCCUAACACAUGCAAGUCGAGCGUGAACCCUUAGAAUGAAACUUCGGUCGAAUGACGAGGGGGAAAGCGGCGGACGGGUGAGUAACGCGUAGGCAACCUGCCCCGUACAGAGGGAUAGCCUCGGGAAACCGGGAUUAAAAACCUCAUAAUACCAUGGUAUCACAUGAUGCAAUGGUCAAAGAUUUAUCGGUAUGGGAUGGGCCUGCGUCUGAUUAGCUGGUUGGUGGGGUAACGGCCUACCAAGGCAACGAUCAGUAGCCGACCUGAGAGGGUAAUCGGCCACAUUGGAACUGAGACACGGUCCAAACUCCUACGGGAGGCAGCAGUGGGGAAUAUUGCACAAUGGGCGAAAGCCUGAUGCAGCAACGCCGCGUGAGCGAAGAAGGCCUUUGGGUCGUAAAGCUCUGUCGGGAAGGAAGAUAAUGACGGUACUUCCCGAGGAAGCCCCGGCUAACUACGUG